UAUUUCCCAUCAUGCUGACUACAGCAACCCGGGAAUGGCUGACUAGCCUACCCAGGUACACCAUCAACACCUGGGCUGAGUUGAAAGCCCAAUU
rnacentral:snoRNA from 1 species